rnacentral:lncRNA from 1 species
GCCUUCUUCAGGGGAAGUCCUCAUCCAAUGACUGAUGACACAGAGGUUCUAAAUGCCCAGCCCCCUCACCUCAAAUUUAGACAACUCUGAAAGGCCUUCCCAGCUUUUGAACACUUUGUGGAUUCAGAAGCCUUGAUGGAGAUUGCACUGCAGCCAGAGGUGGUAAUCCCAAGGGCAUGCCCUGAUGAAAAUCCUACUCUCCAAACUCUGUAUCAGAGUCUGCUUCCAAGGGAAUCCAACCUGUGGCAAACGGUGACUCAAGAUGGACCCAUAGAAGGGAGAAUAAGCUACAAUUAUGGACAGAAAAGAGAUCACCAUUCAAAUCAUGAGAGCCUUGUUCAUCAUACAAAGUAGUUUGAAACUAUCUUGUAGGUAAUAGGGAGACAGUGAAGGGUUUUAAAUAGGGCACUAACAAGAUCUGAUAUAUUUUAGGAAGGUUGUUUGGAAGCAGAACACAGAAUAAACUGAAGUGGCAAGAGACUGUUGCAGUGGUACAGGUGUGACUAUGACAAUGGGGAUGGAGAGGAAAACCCACAAUAAAUUGGGAGCAUUUGACAACUAAUCAGAUGUGAUGGUGGCGAAGGAAAAAAGAAGAGUCAAAGAUUAAGUUAAGAUUACUGCUAGUUUGAGUGACGAGUUGGAUUAGUUCAUGGCAGAGAAUUUUAGGAGGAGGAUAAAUUUCCAACAUGUUGAAUCUAAGGUAUACCCACAUGGACCACCAAGGUGGAGAUAGUCAGAAGGGCAUCACAAAAGAAUCACUAGGUUUACCUGUGGAUUAGCUGAUAAAUGGAAUCAGGUCAUCUCUGCCCUGAAGAAACGUGAGACCUGCCUGCUCCCUGAGAAGGAAGUUUGAGAGAAUCCUUCGAGAGGUCACUGCAGGUGCUGCUUUCCUGGAGGAAAUGAAAUACCAUGAAACAUAAAGCAAUAAUAUAAAUAGAAAUGAUGGAAUCUCCCUAAUCCAAAUAAAUUCUAAGUCUUCAAUCAAUGAAAAUGUCAUAGGAAAAAAAUACACUAUUUUACAUCAGAUUUUAAAAAGAAAUAGAAAAUAGGAGUAGGCUGUGCAUCUUGCACAAGAAAGGAAUGAACAGAUAUAAAAUGGGCAACCAUAUGAAAAGCCCACUGAAGACAACUGGAUGAUUAAUACAUUACAAACAGGUGGGGACAGCAUGAUUUAUCUGCAUCUCAGAAUGGAAACCUACGAUGCAGAAAAUGAGGUUAAAAUGAAAAAUGUAGGAAUCCUGACAAACAACAGAAUAAGAGAGAAUCUACGUUUAAAGUAAGGUCAUAAAUUAAAAUGAAGAACCAAAUCCAUCUUGUAAAGAAUCCAGGAAUCCACUGACAAGUCUUGACGAGUAAGCCAAGUUGGAAUUCUUUCUUAGGGAACUUGGGAUUUUUCUCUAGCCCAAGAUGGACCAUAGAUCUAGGACGAAAUGACUCCCUGCGUUUCUUAGUAAGAUGAUGAUGCUUUACUGGCAGCAAAGAAGAUUUUAGAGAGAUAGCAAGGGCAGGGAAUGGAAGCCACUUCGAUUUUUCUUUGUGGUAGAAGCAGAGGAAUAAUUUAGGGGUCCCAAGAAAAUACUUGCACUCAGAUGAUGAGUCAUUGCAGAAAUUAAAUAAACACAAACUAGAACCAAACUUGCUCUUUGACAACAUUCUAAUAAUAUUAUUAAUAAU